rnacentral:lncRNA from 1 species
AGUACAGCUUUGUGGGAAAAGGACUCAAAUCAACUUUUGCAUCAUUUCUACAGCCAGAACCAGCUGCAUUUGGAACUAACUGCCUCUCAUUUGUUUACAAGAUGUUGAGAUUAUCCUGGAUUAUUUGAGUGGGCCCUAAGUGCAACCUAUGUAUCCUCAUAAGAAGGAGAUCUGACACAGAAGAAGAGGAGAAGGCAACAGGACCAAAGAGGCAGAGGCAGAGAUUUGAAGGAUGUGACCAUAAGGCUAAGAGUGUUGGCUGCUACCAAAGCUGCGCGAGACCAAAUUUGCUCUCUUUGGAUUAUAAUUUCAAGAUCCUGCUUGAUCAGAUGUCUGUCAGGUCUAAUCUGCUAUGGACGGAAGGAAAAGUGUACAGUGCAAACAUGGCUCCCAGG